rnacentral:rRNA from 1 species
AGCAGCCGCGGUAAUUCCAGCUCCAAUAGCGUAUAUUAAAGUUGUUGCAGUUAAAAAGCUCGUAGUUGAAUUUCGGGAUCAAGGAAUCGGUCAUGCCUCGGUAUGUACUGGUUUUAUUGGUUCUCACCUUCUAAAGAACCAUGAUGUCAUUCAUUUGAUGUUAUGGGGAAUUAGGACUGUUACCUUGAAAAAUUAGAGUGUUUAAAGCAGGCUUACGCUUGAAUACAUUAGCAUGGAAUAAUGAAAUAGGACAUCAGAUUCUAUUUUGUUGGUUUCUAGGAUCGAUGUAAUGAUUAAUAGGGAUAGUUGGGGGCAUUAGUAUUCAAUUGUCAGAGGUGAAAUUCUUGGAUUUAUUGAAGACUAACUACUGCGAAAGCAUUUGCCAAGGAUGUUUUCAUUAAUCAAGAACGAAAGUUAGGGGAAUCGAAGACGAUCAGAUACCGUCGUAGUCUUAACCAUAAACUAUG